rnacentral:rRNA from 1 species
UCCGUAGGCGGGCCUGUAAGUCAGGGGUGAAAGUUUGUGGCUCAACCAUAAAUUGCCUUUGAUACUGCAGGUCUUGAGUCAUGGUGGGGUUGCCGGAACAUGUGGUGUAGCGGUGAAAUGCAUAGAUAUCACAUAGAACACCGAUCGCGAAGGCAGGUGACCAACCAUGUACUGACGCUGAUGGACGAAAGCGUGGGUAGCGAACG